GGAGAGGUGGCUGAGUGGUUGAAAGCAGCACCCUGCUAAGGUGUUGAAUCCUUACGGGUUCCGAGGGUUCGAAUCCCUCCCUCUCCGCCA
rnacentral:tRNA from 1 species